rnacentral:rRNA from 1 species
GACCCGAUACACCCACGCCAUCUGGUGGAUGGCUAGGCUUGGGCGCCGAAGAAGGCCGUGACAAGCUGCGAUAAGCCCCGGGUAGAUGCAAGUAGUCUUUGAUCCGGGGAUCGCCGAAUGGGACUUCCUACCAGCGGCUAAUACCCGCUAGGUGUUCCAGCUCAUGGAACGGGAACCCCCCGAACUGAAACAUCUUAGUAGGGGGAGGAAAAGAAACCAAAAGGGAUUCCCUUAGUAGGGGCGACCCAACAGGGAAAAGGGCAAACCGAACCCACCAUGGAAACAUGGAAAAAAACUU